CUACGGGAGGCAGCAGUGGGGAAUAUUGCACAAUGGGCGGAAGCCUGAUGCAGCAACGCCGCGUGCGGGAUGACGGCCUUCGGGUUGUAAACCGCUUUCGCCUGUGACGAAGCGUGAGUGACGGUAAUGGGUAAAGAAGCACCGGCUAACUACGUGCCAGCAGCCGCGGUGAUACGUAGGGUGCGAGCGUUGUCCGGAUUUAUUGGGCGUAAAGGGCUCGUAGGUGGUUGAUCGCGUCGGAAGUGUAAUCUUGGGGCUUAACCCUGAGCGUGCUUUCGAUACGGGUUGACUUGAGGAAGGUAGGGGAGAAUGGAAUUCCUGGUGGAGCGGUGGAAUGCGCAGAUAUCAGGAGGAACACCAGUGGCGAAGGCGGUUCUCUGGGCCUUUCCUGACGCUGAGGAGCGAAAGCGUGGGGAGCGAACAGGCUUAGAUACCCUGGUAGUCCACGCUGUAAACGGUGGGUACUAGGUGUGGGGUCCAUUCCACGGGUUCCGUGCCGUAGCUAACGCUUUAAGUACCCCGCCUGGGGAGUACGGCCGCAAGGCUAAAACUCAAAGGAAUUGACGGGGCCCCGCACAAGCGGCGGAGCAUGCGGAUUAAUUCGAUGCAACGCGUAGAACCUUACCUGGGUUUGACAUGGAUCGGGAGUGCUCAGAGAUGGGUGUGCCUCUUUUGGGGUCGGUUCACAGGUGGUGCAUGGCUGUCGUCAGCUCGUGUCGUGAGAUGUUGGGUUAAGUCCCGCAACGAGCGCAACCCUUGUUCACUGUUGCCAGCACGUUAUGGUGGGGACUCAGUGGAGACCGCCGGGGUCAACUCGGAGGAAGGUGGGGAUGACGUCAAGUCAUCAUGCCCCUUAUGUCCAGGGCUUCACGCAUGCUACAAUGGCUGGUACAGAGAGUGGCGAGCCUGUGAGGGUGAGCGAAUCUCGGAAAGCCGGUCUCAGUUCGGAUUGGGGUCUGCAACUCGACCUCAUGAAGUCGGAGUCGCUAGUAAUCGCAGAUCAGCAACGCUGCGGUGAAUACGUUCCCGGGGCUUGCACACACCGCCCGU
rnacentral:rRNA from 1 species